CCACCCUUUAAAGAGUGCGUAAUAGCUCACUGGUCAAGUGAUUCUGCGCGGAAAACUUAACGGGGCUAAGCUUGACACCGAAGCCAUGGGAUUUGGCGAAAGCCAGAUCGGUAGGGGAGCGUUCUGUUCACGGAGAAGGCUGACCGGAAGGACAGCUGGAGAGAACUGAAGUGAGAAUGCAGGCAUGAGUAGCGUAAAACACGUGAGAACCGUGUUCGCCGUAAAUCUAAGGUUUCCGACGCCAGGUCAAUCCGCGUCGGGUUAGUCGGGUCCUAAGCUGAGGCCGAAAGGCGUAAGUGAUGGACAGCCGGUCAACAUUCCGGCACCACUCAAGAGGAGUGAUGGGGGGACGCAGCGAGGUAGGCCAGCCUGCGAAUGGUUGAGCAGGUGAACUUGUUGUCAGACGAAGAGACUUGUAGGGAAACCCGCGAGUUGAGUUGAGAGCAAGUUGCGAGCCUUCAAGGCGUAAGUGAGUUGAGCCUUGCUGCCGAGAAAAGCCCCUAAACGAAGAGGCUUGAGUGCCCGUACCGCAAACCGACACUGGUAGAUGGGUAGAAAAUACCAAGGCGAACGGGGAAACCCUCGUUAAGGAAUUAGGCAACAUAGCCCCGUAACUUCGGGAGAAGGGGUGCCUACUGGGGUGAUGAAAAGAGCCCUGGUGGGUCGCAGUGAAAUGGCUCUAGUGACUGGUUACCAAAACCACAGGUCUCUGCAAAGCCGAAAGGCGAUGUAUAGGGGCUGACGCCUGCCCAGUGCCGGAAGGUUAAGGGGAGAGGUUAGCGAAAGCGAAGCUUUGAACCGAAGCCCCGGUGAACGGCGGCCGUAACUAUAACGGUCCUAAGGUAGCGAAAUUCCUUGUCGGGUAAGUUCCGACCCGCACGAACGGCGUAACAACUAGAGCACUGUCUCAACGAGGGACCCGGCGAAAUUGAAAUGGCUGUGAAGAUGCGGCCUACCCGCAGCAGGACAAAAAGACCCCGUGGAGCUUUACUGCAACUUGGCAUUGAGUUUGGGCAUAGUUUGUGUAGGAUAGGUGGGAGGCUGUGAAUCUGGAGCGCUAGCUUCGGAGGAGCCGACGGUGAAAUACCACCCUGACUCUGUUUAGACCCUAACCCUGACCCGUGAACCGGGCAGGGGACCGUGCCAGGUGGGCAGUUUGACUGGGGCGGUCGCCUCCUAAAAGGUAACGGAGGCGCCCAAAGGUUCCCUCAUGCUGAAUGGAAACCAGCAGAAGAGUGUAAAGGCACAAGGGAGCUUGACUGUGAGACCAACGCGUCGAGCAGAUACGAAAGUAGGGCUUAGUGAUCCCACGGUACUGAGUGGAAGGGCCGUGGCUUACCGGAUAAAAG
rnacentral:rRNA from 1 species